AGUGAACGCUGGCGGCGUGCUUAUCACAUGCAAGUCGAACGAGAACGGAAUAUAGCUUGCUAUAUUUGUCAGCUAAGUGGCGCACGGGUGAGUAAUGUAUAGAUAACCUGCCCUUAAGAAAGGAAUAACAGUUGGAAACGACUGCUAAUGCCCUAUAUGCCUUUAAUACAUAAGUAUGCAAGGGAAACGCUUUAGUGCUUAAGGAUGGGUCUGUAUGGUAUCAGCUUGUUGGUGAGGUAAUGGCUCACCAAGGCUAUGACGCCUAACUGGUUUGAGAGGAUGAUCAGUCACACUGGAACUGAGACACGGUCCAGACUCCUACGGGAGGCAGCAGUGGGGAAUAUUGCACAAUGGACGGAAGUCUGAUGCAGCAACGCCGCGUGGAGGAUGACACAUUUCGGUGCGUAAACUCCUUUUAUAUAGGAAGAUAAUGACGGUACUAUAUGAAUAAGCACCGGCUAACUCCGUGCCAGCCGCCGCAGUAA
rnacentral:rRNA from 1 species